CGAACAGUUGGAAACGACUGCUAAUACCGCAUACGAUUUAAUCUCGGCAUCGAGGAUAGAUGAAAGGUGGCCUCUACAUGUAAGCUAUCACUGAAGGAGGGGAUUGCGUCUGAUUAGCUAGUUGGAGGGGUAACGGCCCACCAAGGCGAUGAUCAGUAGCCGGUCUGAGAGGAUGAACGGCCACAUUGGGACUGAGACACGGCCCAGACUCCUACGGGAGGCAGCAUG
rnacentral:rRNA from 1 species